CAAUCACUAACCUUCUGCUAGCAAGGGUAGUGACUGUGGGAAAUGUGCAGGUCAUAGAUGAUGACUUUGCUGCAAUGAGGUUCCCUAACUGUAGGGGAGACAUUUAUGGAACCCUUAUCC